GACGAACCGUGCGAACGUUGUUCGGAAUCACUGGGCUUAAAGGGCGCGUAGGCGGCCCCGCCAGUCCCGGGUGAAAUCUCCCGGCCCAACCGGGAAAGUGCCCGGGAUACUGCGGGGCUCGAGCGAGGCAGGGGCGGGGGGAACUUCCGGUGGAGCGGUGAAAUGCGUUGAUAUCGGAAGGAACGCCGGUGGCGAAAGCGCCCCGCUGGGCCUCUCCUGACGCUGAGGCGCGAAAGCCAGGGGAGCAAACUGG
rnacentral:rRNA from 1 species